AGAAGGAGUCACAGAUUCUGAAGCAGGCUCCAGGCUCUGAGCUGUCAGCACAGAGCAUGACGCGGGGCUUGAACUCACGAAUUGCGAGAUCAUGAAUGAGCCACCCAGGGGCCCCCAAGAUGAGUUUUUCUUAAUUGGGUGUUGGCUUGGUUUCUGUAAACCUUUGACUGUUUUCCAGCAUUUUGACCAGGAUGCAUCUCUAAUGGUUGAAGAAGUGGUGGAGGAUGACAUGGGACAGAGUGCCUGAGGAUCCUUGCCUGGGACAAAUUAUGGGAAGAAAAGUCUUACAGCUUGGCACUAAGAGCUCUUUUAUGUCAUCUUGCCUGUCAGUCUGUUUGGAAUCAAGAGAGACUCACUGAAGACUUCUUUGAAAAGAAUGUUUUUUUGAAGAAGGAAAAAGAAAUACUGUGAGAGAAGGCACACAGACCAGAAGGGUCGUAGAUGCAUGUAUUUUUGCUGUGUAACACCAACAGGACUUCAUUGGGUGAACAAGGAGAGUUGAGAAGGGAGAAAGUUAAGAAAUGACUGAAUUUUGUGGGUCUUGAUGCAAAAAUGCUGGCCAUCUACUAAUGUGGAAAAACAGUUGAUGCUUUAGUCCCAGGAAUUUGUUUCUGCUGUGUGCAGUUCUCAUAAAUUCUUCUCACAUUCAGAACCACCCCUUUGUCCUCUGAGAAUGAUGGUACUUUUGCUUCUGUUAGCAGUACUUCCAAGGAUGAAUGAAAAUGUAUAGUGUUUGCCAAAACCUAAAAAGUACAAUUUGUUUAUUUAUCAUAAAUAAAUAUAAAUAUUUAUCAUAUUUAGAGGCUUUUUAAUUAUAAAUAGAGGUUUGCAGGAUAUGCCACUUGUAUUUUAUAAUUCUGUAGUGUUUAACACCAUUUAGGGUUUUUUUUUAAAUCAAUAAAUAUUAGAUUUUAAAUAUUAAAUUUAAUGAUUCCUAAUCAUAUUGUGGCCAUUUUUCUCCAAUUUGAUAUCCAGAGACUGCUUGAUAAAACUGAAAUUUUAUUUUUUACACUUAAUGUUAUUUAUGGUAUUUAUGUUACUGUGUAUAAUCAUGAUUUUCUGUUUUCCUUGAGGUUUUAGCAGACCUUUUUCUCUGUAUAUGUCAAAAUAAAAAAUUUUAAAUAGUAAAUAUGUUGUAAUAUGGAUACUGAUCUUAUAUUACUUUUCUACUAAAUAUUGAGCUUUGUUUUGUUAUAAACCCUGAACCUAAAUGACAGUUUUAUCUCGAUAUUUGAAAAUUAAAUGUUUAUAUAUGAUGUAUAGGAAGCAUCCUGUGGAUUUGGCUUGUGUGUGUUUUUAAAAUUAAAUUUAAAAUUUUUUACUUUUUUAAAAAUUAUGUAAUCAUACUCUAUUAGGCAGCUUUUCUUUGGAAGAGGAGGACUUUGUUUUUGAACUUAUAUGUAGUUGUUUCAGUUUCCAGGCAGUGAUAUGAAUUACAAACUUUGUUUCUGAUUCUACAGUCUUUUCCUUAUUUUAGGGACUUUUAAACAGGUUGUGGGACAUUUUGAACAUAAAUAUCUUGAUAGUCAAGAAAGUGUUCUCUUCAGCCCUUCUCCAGAGGAUUUCUUGAUUAAAAGUCCUUCUCAUACA